AACGAACGCUGGCGGCAGGCCUAACACAUGCAAGUCGAACGCCGUAGCAAUACGGAGUGGCAGACGGGUGAGUAACACGUGGGAACGUACCCUUCGGUUCGGGAUAACUCAGGGAAACUUGAGCUAAUACCGGAUACGUCCGAGAGGAGAAAGAUUUAUUGCCGAGGGAUCGGCCCGCGUCUGAUUAGCUUGUUGGUGAGGUAACGGCUCACCAAGGCGACGAUCAGUAGCUGGUCNGAGAGGAU
rnacentral:rRNA from 1 species